UAUGGGACCCUGACUGUGCGCAGCCUGCUGGACACCAGGGAGCACUGUCUGAACGAGUUCAACUUCCCGGAUCCCUACUCCAAAGUGAAGCAGCGGGAGAACGGCGUGGCGCUGAGGUGCUUCCCCGGGGUCGUGCGCUCCCUGGACGCUCUGGGCUGGGAGGAGCGGCAGCUGGCGCUGGUGAAAGGCCUCCUGGCGGGAAACGUCUUCGACUGGGGGGCCAAAGCCGUGUCUGAGUAGGUGUCUGCGGGCUCGGGGCAGGCUCUGCAGCCUGUGGGUCCCUGUCCUGCCCCAGGCUUGUGUGCAAGGAGGCGGAGCAGGUCCCUCGGGGGUCAUGUGGCACUUGGUGGCUUGAUGGCUCGGGGCUUUGGGGCCCAGGGGCUGUGCAGAGCCCGGCGCCCUUGUCUGUCCCCUCAGGCUCUGAGGAGGCCCCUUCCUUAAGCACGGGUGCCGCGGAGGCCUAGGGGUAUGGAUUUGAAAAUCGGGGCUGGCAUUUUUUAUUGUUGGAAUCCAAAUUCAUGUUUCCUAUGCGUGGUAGGAAUUAAACAUUUCUGAUGUGAUGAUCAAAGGGUGCUUUGCAAAGGAGUCCCCUAGACUGGCCUGUGGGACACGCAGGUGUCUAGCACAUGGCGCCGUCUCCUGGGGCUCUGAAUCUUGAAAAUGAACCAUCCCUACCAUAAUUUACCUUCACUCC
rnacentral:sRNA from 1 species